GACGGAGGGUGCUAGCGUUGUUCGGAAUUACUGGGCGUAAAGGGCUCGUAGGUGGCCAACUAAGUCAGACGUGAAAUCCCUCGGCUUAACCGGGGGAACUGCGUCUGAUACUGGAUGGCUUGAGUUCGGGAGAGGGAUGCGGAAUUCCAGGUGUAGCGGUGAAAUGCGUUGAUAUCCGUAGGAACUCCGGUGGCGAAGGCGGCGUGCUGGAUCCCUUCUGACGCUGAGGCGCGAAAGCCAGGGGAGCAAACGGG
rnacentral:rRNA from 1 species